CCCGCGGACGGCGGAAGGAUCAGAAUGCAGUAGAGGGUGUGGGGUAAAACCGUGGCUGGUGGAAGUUGGAAUAGACUUAUUUUCGGAGGUUUGCAGCCUGCAGGGUAUAUAUAGGGUGCGCUCGACCGACCAAAAUUAGUCCGUCUCCGUCGUCUCGUGUUCGCAAUUUUCUAUACUUAUCAGCGGUAGCGGUGGCAAGAUUUUUCACUCCGACACUCAUCCAAAACUUUCCCGGUAGUGGCGCUACCGAUAGCCGACUUCAAAAGCACACGGCAGGGCGCGUUUGUGUCGAGUGGUCUAGGUAGCACAACCGACGACCGCCAACAAUCAUUUCGUCGAAGACGGCUACAGCUUCCAGUCUUUGACCGAAAUUUUCACUGGUUCAAAGAUCGCUUCUACAACACCGCCUGACCACCGUCAACCAGUCGCCUUUUGCCUUUUUGUUAUAUGUACACGACUACAACAUGGUGAACUUUUUCGGAAUCAUACUCUACUGCAUGCCAUGUAUCAACUGUAUAUAUGACGAAUUAUUUUUAUGUGGCAACAUCUUUAAUUACUCAAUAAUGUCUUUAACUAAUGGGAGCAUGCAGACAUCAAAAACGCCACUUCUUAACCAAACUACAGACGAAUUUAUCUGUCCAAAAUACAAACAUUUGACAUGGCUUUUAAAUACGGCUGAAACGACGUUCCUGUUUUUGUCCGCUUUCCAUUUGAUUCGAUUGAUCGUGGAGUUGAUAAUUCAGAUUUGGAACAAACGUAAUAGCGGUCUAUUACAAGAAUAAUGGUGACAAGGCUGGUAAACAUUUUUAGUCCACCGUCGUAGUAUUGCUGGUUGUAGGUGUACAUUUAUCAUCUAUUGAAAUUGAAAACAUACAUCUAGAUACAUCGACAUCACUGAUGUAUUUAUUUCAACACUAAAAAUUUUGAAAAAUCGUUUGUCAUGAACUUAAUUAUAACAUUUUACCGAUAAAAUUGCCA